CUUGGUUACUGACCGCAGUGGAGGACUACCGUGUGAACAAUCAAAGCAAAACAGUAAACGACAGCUCCAACAAUUUUUUGGAAUUCAGUUUUGCAAUUCCGGAAGCCAGAGUCCCUGCCAAUUUGAAGAAACAUAUAUCGUGAUGACCCUGGGUGCAGAACGGGUGGGAUUGCGUAGCCAAUCGGAGGACCCGCGUCUCACCUGUGCGCUUGAUGAUUUCCCAGACUCCCCAGGGCGUGGCGGG